UACGGAGGGUGCAAACGUUGCUCGGAAUCAUUGGGCGUAAAGCGCACGUAGGCGGCCUGUUAAGUCGGGUGUGAAAGCCCUGGGCUCAACCCAGGAAGUGCACUCGAAACUGGCAGGCUUGAAUAUGGAAGAGGGUCGCGGAAUUCCCGGUGUAGAGGUGAAAUUCGUAGAUAUCAAGCGGAACACCGGUGGCGAAGGCGGCCUUCUGGACAGUGACUGACGCUGAGACGCGAAAGCGUGGGGAGCAAACAGG
rnacentral:rRNA from 1 species